UUAAAUUGAAGAGUUUGAUCAUGGCUCAGAUUGAACGCUGGCGGCAGGCCUAACACAUGCAAGUCGAACGGUAACAGGAAACAGCUUGCUGUUUCGCUGAC
rnacentral:rRNA from 1 species